AAGAAUUUAUAAUUUUCUAAGUCCCGAAAACUACAGCUUCAGGAUGAAGGUGUAAAUAUGUUUAUGGAGAUGCAUCCGGUCGCUUAUCUUUACAAAACCAUCACAAAAUUGGCAUAUGAUCGAUCAUCUGCAGUCUGCACCAACGGCUUCAUAAACUGACUUGAACCCGUCCCUUUCCAAGCAUUGUGCAAGUUCGGCCUGCAAAACGAACGAAAACAGAUUUUAAGGUUUUCGGUUCAGGGUUUAGGCAGUCGAUACGUCAUACGUUUAUUGUUCAGAUAUUCAUGAUAAUAAUUAUGAAACAAGAUACCUUUAUUUGAGGUAUAAGGGCGGGUCCACCAUAAGCGAAUGCUGUAUAAAGCUGAACAAGAGUUGCGCCUGCUCUUAUUUUUCUACUCUAAAAGAAUAAAGAAAACACAAGCUGCUGUAUGUUAAGUAUGUUAUUUACAAAGCAAAAGCCUUUCAUGAUCCUUUUCCAAUUAGUCCACGUACACGUCAAGGCACUAAUGUUGGGACAUUUUGACGUUAAUCUUCCUUUUCCCAGGUACAAUGGCAAAAAAGUAAGUUAUAUUCACCAUCAAAACUCAUUAGUCAAUUUCCUUAUAUUUUCCAAGCACUACUUCAUAACAAAAGCAACAUUUCAAAUAUACGUACGUUUCUUGAUUUUGUUUGUUCCACACCGCCCCGAAAAUAAGUGAUAUUUAUUCGUUAUUCUUAAAAGGUCUUUUUCCACCCUUAAUUGUACUAAAAGACAGAACUUGCUCUUCCCUACACCUACUUUUAACUACUCUCAAGUCUUAAGUAACAUGAAUUAACUUGUAUCCUUCAUGCCAACAUCACCUAUACUAUCAUUUGAUAGAACAAAUCAUACCAUAUCAUCUAACAAUAUCAACUCAUUCCAAACAAUAUAAUCCGUAUUAGAAAAAGAAUAUGAAAAUUAAGUACCCGAAUGUGGCUUCAUCCACAGUGCUGGCAUAAGCUCCUCCAGCUAUAACCAGUCCAAUGGUAGUUCCUGUAAGCAACCUACCCUACAGUUUCAAAAAAUAAACAGUAAUUCAAAACCCUAAAUCCAUAGUCCAUACAAAUUCAAACAAUUUCCUGAUCCAUAACUGCCUAAAAGCUUUAAAGUUUCAUCAUUUAUCUUAUUUUCUUUCUUAAAUUAAUUGUCUUCCAUAAGCAUUAAAUUAUUCAAAUCAUUUUACAUAAAGCACAACCAAAAGUCAAAGUAAAAAGUAUUCCUAUUUCAAUGGAGGCGGUGCAUACACGUAUUAUGCGUGUUUUAAAGAAUAAAAAAAGUCACCUUUCUGGAAGAAUGAGGAGGAUUGGGUUUAACAGUUGAAGAAGAAGAAGAAGUAUAAUGUCUGGUUGUAGCAAUGGGAGCCGCUAUUGAUUUCAGCUUCUGAUUCAAACAUUCCUUCAUGAAUCUCAAUCCAAUUCUUCCUGUCAUCUUUCUAAAACGAUUCUGUUCUUCAGGCUCGCGAUUAUACUGUAGAUUAUUUGAAAUCUGGUUUGUUGUUGUUGUUGUUGUUGUUUGUGAGUGGAAUAUGAUGAAAUUCAAUUGGUGUUUAGGGGAAUGAAUGAAUGAAUCAGUGUUUGCUGAGGAAGAAUUUGUACGCAAUUGUUGUUUAACGUAGAAAAAUUGAUUGUCGGCUUAUGCUAUUCACAUCGUGCAAACCCUUGGUCCUUCAAAUGACCAUUUUCGGCUAUACUUUGCCUUUAUGCACCUUGCUUUUUCUUCUUAGCAUUUUUGGUCCUUCAAGCUUUUUACUUUGUUAGAAUCUCCAGAGGACUCGGUUACAAAAAUUGUCUUUUAUGUUAACACCAAGUUGCAAACUGUAUUCUUUAUCUUUAAAACAUGUAAAAACGUACUUGAUGUUUGCAAACCCUUGCACGUUAUGUCAUUUAGCUCUAACUCAGUUAAGUUUUAUGGUUAAAUAUGACCAAAGAAACCCCAUAUGGGGAUAGUAUUGUCUUUCCCUAACCUAAUACAGCAAUACUUUUAUUUUUUUAAACAAAUAAAACCGACCCACCCUGCUGUACCCUUUCUCUCUCCUAGCCACCACCACCGCAACCCCCCCCCUUUUCAGUUUUCUCUCUUUCUUUCCCUCCCUCACACACAACCACCAUGACCUCCCACUAUUAACCGUCCCCCACCAUCAAGAAAACAAAGUAGUCACAUAACUUAAUCAAAUGUGUAAAAUAACAGUAAACAAAACAGGCACAUAACUGAAUCAAAUCAAGAAAACACUCAAGAACUUAAAAAUAGAUCACUAGAACAAAUGGGUAAUCAAAAAACGUAUUAAAAAAAAUUCUUGAAAAAUUGGACAAGUCCUUUGCUCAUGUGAAACCCUAAAAUCAUCCAAUUGUGAAAAAACGAACGAAACCAUUACUGUCAGCUGUCCGGUUAUACUCAUUUGAAAAAACCGACUGGUUCCAAUGAUCCAGAGGUUGGCC
rnacentral:lncRNA from 1 species